UUGACCUCGGAUCAGGUAGGAAUACCCGCUGAACUUAAGCAUAUCAAAAAAGGGGGGAAAAAA
rnacentral:rRNA from 1 species